rnacentral:lncRNA from 1 species
AUGCUCCAAUUCCACCUUCCAGCCCAUACACUUUAUAAGGCUCUUGUUGCUCAAUUCAAUUAUGAUAUUAAUGAGACUCAACUUCAGGCUGAGAAACAUCAGGAAACCCUGCUAAAAGGUUCAGCCACACUGGAGAAUCUGCCACUACCUGAAAUAGUCAUGCUUGCAGCUCCAACUAUUUAUUGGGAAUACUUUCCCCUGCCUAUUUCCACACCUGGCCAAGAUCCUGGCACCUUCUUGGUGAAGCCUUUGCAGACUCCUCCAGACUGUUUCAGCAGCUGGGACUGA